AUAACAUUCGGACAGUCGGUCUACCGAGCAAUUUCACCCGUUCGGUAAAAAAAUUUGCAUUAGUCAU
rnacentral:pre_miRNA from 1 species